AUGUUAAUUGCCGCAUUCUAUGAUUAUGAGAUAUGGCAAAUGGACGUCAAAACGGCAUUCCUUAAUGGUUUCCUUAAGGAAGAAUUGUAUAUGAUGCAGCCGGAAGGUUUUGUCGAUCCUAAGAAUGCUGACAAGGUGUGCAAGCUCCAACGCUCGAUUUAUGGGCUGGCGCAAGCAUCUCGGAGUUGGAACAUUCGCUUUGAUGAGAUGAUCAAAGCGUUUGGGUAUACACAGACUUAUGGAGAAGCCUGCGUUUACAAGAAAGUGAGUGGGAGCUCUGUAGCAUUUCUCAUAUUAUAUGUAGAUGACAUACUUUUGAUGGAAAAUGAUAUAGAACUCUUGGACAGCAUUAAGGCCUACUUGAAUAAGAGUUUUUCAAUGAAGGACCUUGGAGAAGCUGCAUAUAUAUUAGGCAUCAAGAUCUAUAGAGAUAGAUCAAGACACCUCAUAGGUCUUUCACAAAGCACAUACCUUGAUAAGAUAUUGAAGAAAUUCAAUAUGGAUCAGUCUAAGAAGGGGUUCUUCCCUGUGUUACAAGGUGUGAAAUUGAGCUCAGCUCAAUGUCCGACCACGGCAGAAGAUAUAGAAGAGAUGAGUGUC
rnacentral:rRNA from 1 species